rnacentral:rRNA from 1 species
AUGUAGUAUUUAGACCGAAAGUUCAUCCUGACAAAAGAUAAUCUGAAGAAAAGAAAUUGGCAAAACUGCACUUAGUGUUGUUUCUACGGUGAUGAUGAGUCAAUUCAGCAUCUAUUCCUUCAAUGUCCACUUGCCAAGCUGUUGUGGCGCUUCGUUUAUAUAGCUUUGAAUCUACCUUCCACCAAGUAG